CAGUCGCCGCGGUAAUACGUAGGGUGCAAGCGUUAAUCGGAAUUACUGGGCGUAAAGCGUACGCAGGCGGUUAUAUAAGUCAGAUGUGAAAUCCCCGGGCUCAACCUGGGAACUGCAUUUGAGACUGUAUGGCUAGAGUGUGUCAGAGGGGGGUAGAAUUCCACGUGUAGCAGUGAAAUGCGUAGAUAUGUGGAGGAAUACCGAUGGCGAAGGCAGCCCCCUGGGAUAACACUGACGCUCAUGCACGAAAGCGUGGGGAGCAAACAGGAUUAGAUACCCCCGUAGUCCCUGUCUCUAUACC
rnacentral:rRNA from 1 species